UUGGCUGUGCUACUGUUUGCCUUUACACUUUCUUGACUUCAUUAUGUAAUCUUGCCGAAUCUCCACGCUCUGUGCAUGCUGUUUAGACCUCACGUCUGUCUUUUACUUACCCUUGAAUAGUUUUGUUUUGAAACUCCUGGUCCAUCCAUAUUUACCUCAUUCCUUUGUUUCCUACUAUCUGUCUGCUGCCUGGAAUGUUCAGGGACAUUGUCCAGAAAUGUGUACCAGUCUGCUUUAUUACAUAUCUUACCUAACAGGACAUUCCAUUAGAAUUUUUUUUCCUACUUUGGCCCUGCCAUUUUUGGUUGCAUGAGGUAAUGCCCCUUCUCCCCAAGUCACUUCUGGUUAUGGGCAUCAUAUGGACAAAAGACAAUUGCCAGGAUAAAUUUAUCUCUUUUGAUUUCCCUUUGAGCAAGUAGAGGAAGGCAAAGGAUGCAUAGAUUCUGCUGCUGAUUGGCUCUGUGACAUCAGGCAAGUCACUUAACUACUCUGCCCUCUUUCAUGGUCAGUUUAUAAUAAGUGGGGGUGAAUAUAAAUGAAUCAACUUUGUAAUUGAUAAUGCACUUUAAAAUGAUUGGUUUGGCCAAUCCUUCCAUGGGUUUGUAUCAAUCCUACUAGUGAUGAACAGGAUUGCUUCUCUUCCAUGGCCCAUCCUUUCCAACACUCCAUUCUAGCUUGUCUGUCUUCAUAGUAAACAUUUCUACUGGUUUUCAUGUCAGAGUACUAUCUUUUUGAAGUCUAGAUUCAGAAGGGACAACUUUGCUCAGGCCUCUUCUCCAUUCUGGUGUUAUGAAAAGUUAUAGGCAUCCUCCUGAAUCCCCUCUGUCUCUCAGUGUUCUCUGCAAAGGAUGGAAGUAGCCAUUCCAGAAAUACCCGAUCACCACGGCUGCCCUUUGGUUAUCCUCUUACUAUUAACUUUUUUUUUCCUGCUCUCAAUCACUCACUUCCUUUCUUUCUCUCUGUCCUUAGAUAAAAUAUCUUUACUGAAGAAGUUACUGCAGAAAAGAAGACAACUCAUCUAAUGAUUCUUGGAGUCUCAUCCCCUUGGGAGUAUCCUCUCAAUCUGUCUGAGAACAGAAUAUGUCAUAGAAUGUCCAUUUUAAGUUCAGUGAAGUGGGGAUGGCGUGGGUUAAUGAAAAUCUUCAGAUAAGAGGAGCAGGAACCAGAAAUAUGUACCCAUAGAGGAAAGACCAUGUAAGGACACAGCAAGAAGGUGGCCAUCUGCAAGACAAGGAGAAAGGCUUUGAAGAAACCAAACAUGCUGACCCCUGGAUCUUGGACUCCAGCCUCCAGAACUGGUCUGCCACUGCCCACAUAGACUGCUAGCCCCCAGCGCACAGCCUAAGAGAAAGGAGCUGUCCGUUCAGUACCAGGACCACGUGCAACCUGCCCGCCAAAACACAAAGAACUGAAAUAUUAAUUAAAAAAAGCCAAUCUGCUCAAUCCUCCGCCCGCAGGCAGGCUCUAACGGAAAACCGCAUAUGCUUUCCCUUUCUCCUCAAUAAAUCUUCA